rnacentral:rRNA from 1 species
GACGAACGCUGGCGGCGUGCUUAACACAUGCAAGUCGAACGGAAAGGCCCUGCUUUUGUGGGGUGCUCGAGUGGCGAACGGGUGAGUAACACGUGAGUAACCUGCCCUUGACUUUGGGAUAACUUCAGGAAACUGGGGCUAAUACCGGAUAGGAGCUCCUGCUGCAUGGUGGGGGUUGGAAAGUUUCGGCGGUUGGGGAUGGACUCGCGGCUUAUCAGCUUGUUGGUGGGGUAGUGGCUUACCAAGGCUUUGACGGGUAGCCGGCCUGAGAGGGUGACCGGCCACAUGGGGACUGAGAUACGGCCCAGACCCCUACGGGAGGCAGCAGUGGGGAAUAUUGCACAAUGGGCGGAAGCCUGAUGCAGCAACGCCGCGUGCGGGAUGACGGCCUUCGGGUUGUAACCCGCUUUCGCCUGUGACGAAGCGUGAGUGACGGUAAUGGGUAAAGAAGCACCGGCUAACUACGUG